rnacentral:tRNA from 1 species
AAAAAAUUAGUUAAACCCCAAAUAACAUUAGCUUGUCAAACUAAAAUUGUCCUCAGAGACAUUUUUUA